UACGUAGGGGGGCUAGCGUUGUCCGGAAUCAUUGGGCGUAAAGCGCGUGUAGGCGGCCCGGUAAGUCCGCUGUGAAGGUCGGGGGCUCAACCCUCGGAUGCCGGUGGAUACUGUCGGGCUAGAGUGCGGAAGAGGCGAGUGGAAUUCCUGGGUGUAGCGGUGAAAUGCGCAGAUAUCAGGAGGAACACCAAUUGCGAAGGCAGCUCGCUGGGACGUGACUGACGCUGAGACGCGAAAGCGUGGGGAGCGAUCCGG
rnacentral:rRNA from 1 species